rnacentral:rRNA from 1 species
GACGGAGGAUGCAAGCGUUAAUCGGAAUUACUGGGCGUAAAGGGUGCGUAGGCGGUUCGUUAAGUCUGUCGUGAAAUCCCCGGGCUCAACCUGGGAAUGGCGAUGGAUACUGGCGAGCUAGAGUGUGUCAGAGGAUGGUGGAAUUCCCGGUGUAGCGGUGAAAUGCGUAGAGAUCGGGAGGAACAUCAGUGGCGAAGGCGGCCAUCUGGGACAACACUGACGCUGAAGCACGAAAGCGUGGGGAGCAAACAGG